rnacentral:rRNA from 1 species
GAUGAACGCUGGCGGCGUGCCUAAUACAUGCAAGUCGAGCGAACAGACGAGGAGCUUGCUCCUCUGACGUUAGCGGCGGACGGGUGAGUAACACGUGGAUAACCUACCUAUAAGACUGGGAUAACUUCGGGAAACCGGAGCUAAUACCGGAUAAUAUAUUGAACCGCAUGGUUCAAUAGUGAAAGACGGUUUUGCUGUCACUUAUAGAUGGAUCCGCGCCGCAUUAGCUAGUUGGUAAGGUAACGGCUUACCAAGGCAACGAUGCGUAGCCGACCUGAGAGGGUGAUCGGCCACACUGGAACUGAGACACGGUCCAGACUCCUACGGGAGGCAGCAGUGGGGAAUCUUCCGCAAUGGGCGAAAGCCUGACGGAGCAACGCCGCGUGAGUGAUGAAGGUCUUCGGAUCGUAAAACUCUGUUAUUAGGAAAGAACAAAUGUGUAAGUACCUAUGCACGUCUUGACGGUACCUAAUCAGAAAGCCACGGCUAACUACGUG